AGUUCAUGUUCUCUGGUGGCAUGAGAGUGCGGACAGUCGUGCGGCGGGGAGACAUCAGUCCCAUGAGGAUCCCAGAGUUGUGGCGGCGGUUCGGGAGAGUGUCAAUUACCUAGUGUCUCAGCAGAAUAUGCUUCUGAUUCCUGAGUCAUUUUCACCACUGAAAUAGUUUUCCACUGAAAUACGAAGCAUUUCAUUAACUGCCAUAAGAUAUGUCUGCUAAAGGUGCUUAAAUUCUCCCAAGAGAUCCUCACUUUUAUUUGAAGGAGGUGGUAAGUUAAUCGCUAUGUCUCUGCAUUUUUAAAGCCAUCUCUGUCCUUUGUCACGACCACCUCAGGAAAUAGUUCUGUUCAUUUUCCCCACGGUGUUUCAGUAUCUAUUAUACAGUAGAAAUAGUUGCCACUACUUCAUGAUCUUGAUUUUUCAUUUCUUUCAGAAUAUCUCUUAUUCUCUAUUUUGACAACCCUUUGCUUUAUAGCAUUUUCUUAUAUUCAAAUGAUGAUUUUACAUUUCUGUGCCUGACAAUAUUUU